GGCGCACGGGUGCGUAACACGUGGGUAAUCUGCCCUCUGAUGGGGAAUAACCCGCCGAAAGGCGGGCUAAUUCCGCAUAAUAUUCCGAGAACUUCGGUUUUUGGACUGAAAGGCGUAAGUCGUCGGAGGAGGAGCCCGCGCCCGAUUAGCUAGUUGGUAGGGUAAUGGCCUACCAAGGCUUUGAUCGGUAGCUGGUCUGAGAGGAUGGCCAGCCACACUGGAACUGAGACACGGUCCAGACUCCUACGGGAGGCAGCAGUGGGGAAUCUUGCACAAUGGGCGAAAGCCUGAUGCAGCGACGCCGCGUGGGGGAUGAAGCUUCUCGGAGUGUAAACCCCUUUCGAUCCGGACGAAUACCUCGCAAGAGGGGUGACGGUACGGAUAUAAGAAGCCCCGGCUAACUACGUGCCAGCCGCCG
rnacentral:rRNA from 1 species